CCUACGGGCGGCUGCAGUGGGGAAUAUUGGACAAUGGGGGGAACCCUGAUCCAGCCAUGCCGCGUGUGUGAAGAAGGCCCUCGGGUUGUAAAGCACUUUCAGUGAGGAAGAACGCCUGGUGGUUAAUACCCAUCAGGAAAGACAUCACUCACAGAAGAAGCACCGGCUAACUCCGUGCCAGCAGCCGCGGUAAUACGGAGGGUGCGAGCGUUAAUCGGAAUUACUGGGCGUAAAGCGCGCGUAGGUGGCUUGAUAAGCCGGUUGUGAAAGCCCCGGGCUCAACCUGGGAACGGCAUCCGGAACUGUCAAGCUAGAGUGCAGGAGAGGAAGGUAGAAUUCCCGGUGUAGCGGUGAAAUGCGUAGAGAUCGGGAGGAAUACCAGUGGCGAAGGCGGCCUUCUGGACUGACACUGACACUGAGGUGCGAAAGCGUGGGUAGCAAACAGGAUUAGAUACCCCUUAGUC
rnacentral:rRNA from 1 species